UACGGAGGGAGCUAGCGUUGUUCGGAAUUACUGGGCGUAAAGCGCACGUAGGCGGCUAUUCAAGUCAGAGGUGAAAGCCCGGGGCUCAACCCCGGAACUGCCUUUGAAACUAGGUAGCUAGAAUCUUGGAGAGGUCAGUGGAAUUCCGAGUGUAGAGGUGAAAUUCGUAGAUAUUCGGAAGAACACCAGUGGCGAAGGCGGCUCACUGGACCGGCAUUGACGCUGAGGUGCGAAAGCGUGGGGAGCAAACAGG
rnacentral:rRNA from 1 species